rnacentral:hammerhead_ribozyme from 1 species
AUCCAGCUGACGAGUCCCGAAUAAGACUAAAAAAGCUUCCUGGAU